rnacentral:lncRNA from 1 species
GGACAGCCUGCCAUUGUGCAAAGUCACCAUGUAACAAAUGCAGACAUCUCUGAGAUCACCAUGCAGUGAGGAAGUCUAAGCUGGUGGCAUGAAGAGGCCACAUGGAAAGGGCUAAAAAAGGGGCCAGCCUCAGUCAUCCCAGCUGAGCACCUGGCUGGGAAUAAAAGAGGACUCCGUGGAUGUCCAGCCCAGUAAGAUGACCUCAGCCCCAGCCACCAACUGACCAAGCACACAAGACAUCGUGAGGCUGCCUGCUGGAGCCUGGCCAGUGGGACUGUAGAGUAACUCAUUGUCGUGCAGGAACUCCUGGGAUGGUGUUGCCCAGUGACACAAUCCCAGUGUGGCCAUUUCUGAUCCCGAGAAAGCAGUCAGGAGUGGGUGGAUGCAGUUACAGUUCAUCAAGUCCUGCUAGUUCAAGUCAUGAGUCCUGAAUUCUCCAGGAGGAGCCACUAAAGAAAUGCAGAAGCAGGCAAUCCUUGCAAUAAGGCCAGCAAACUGCCAGUGUGAAGGAUGCCCAGG